rnacentral:rRNA from 1 species
CCCUUAGAUGUUCUGGGCCGCACACGCGCUACACUGAAGGAGGCAGCGUGUACUCCUGGAUCGAAAGAUUUGGGUAACCCGCGAAUCUCCUUCGUGCUAGGGAUUGAGGUUUGCAUUUAUCCUUCAUGAACGAGGAAUUCCCAGUAAGUGCAAGUCAUAAGCUUGCGCUGACUACGUCCCUGCCCUUUGUACACACCGCCCGUCGCUACUACCGAUUGAAUGAUUUAGUGAGGACUUCGGACUGGGACCGAUGCGGCUUUCGGGCUGCGUCGGUAUUCUGGAAAGAUGUCCAAACUGUAUCAUUUAGAGGAAGUAAAAGUCGUANCA